AGUCACGUGGGCGGUACGGGGUUCGGAGGAGACGUCAUGGCCCGGUGGCGGCUCCUGAGACGGCAGCGGGCUGCUUUCCAGACGCCACCUAACUUGCUUUUCGGACCGCGCGCUCCGAGCUGACGCGGCGACCGCCCUGAACUUCAGUUCAAUGUACAUUUGAAAGCAGAUCUUAGUAGCUUGUAAGUGUAAAUUCCAGUUCGGAAAGUUGGGGCACAAGGAUCAGAAGUUCAGAGCCAGCCUGGGCUUUAUAGUAAAAUCUUAUCUCAAAAAAGAAUGAGUAUUUAAAAAAUAAAUAUCAAAUAGGGCAUGGUGGUGCACACCUUUAAUUCUAGCACUCAAGAGGCAGAGGCAGAUGUAUCUCUGCAAUUUGAGACUAGCCUGGUCUACAUAGAGAGUUCUAGGAUAGCCUGGGCUAUAGAGAGAGACCCUGUCUCCCAAAGGGCUGCUUUCUUGUAGAGGGAAAUGAAUAAGAAGCUAGUGACAUCUGAUUAGGGGAGUGCUCAGUGACUGGGGAUGUAGCUAAGUUCUCAGUGUGCACUUACCAUGCCCAAAGCACCGAGGACUUGUAGUAGUGAUCUUGUAAUCCUGGCACUCAGCAGGCAGGAGAAUCAGAACUUCAAGGUCAUCCUUGGCACAUAGCAAGGUCCGGAGGCAAUGUUGCCUCAAGAAAGGAGAAGGGAAAAGAUCGGAAGGGCAGGAGGAGGAGGAAAUGGGUGGGGUGGGGGAGUAAACAGUCUCCUGUGGGAGUCACUGCUUGAGGAAGGAGUCACUUUCCAUUGCAGUAGGCGUUCCCAAGCCCGUCCCCGUUGAGCAGAGAUGGACGGUACGAAACUGCUAGCCACGGCACAAGAGAAGAGCAGUCCAUCUAAGAAGACUGGAAAGUGAAUAUGCUCUAGGAAAGGGGAGAGCUUGCCUGCUAACAACAGAAGGCCAGCACACGAAGCAUGGUGAGCAGUGAGGCUUGGCCUCCUUCCCUCCGGGUUCCUGUGGAAACCACUACGAACAUGGAACCUUCUCUGCACUCCUGCAGCUGAGGAGCCACAUGGUCCUCUGUGGUCAGUGAGAGUAAGGUGGAAGUUUGCUGUGCGGGUCUUGUGAGAACAUGCCGUCUCCCUGGUGAAAGGGUCUGACUUGCUCCACACGUCCAUUCCACCUCCACACUUUGUCCCUGCUGGGAAGGAGGGCAACUCUCCUAAAAAUGGAGACUGCCCUGUCGGAAGCUGUGCCAAGUAGAGCACAAGAAGGAGACUGCAACUUCAGUGGGUCCUGAAUAUUUGCAUCAAGCCUGGACAAGCUGCUUCAGAAUGGAGGACAACAAAUUCCUUUCCUUAUUUCUUUCUUUCUUUCUUCCUUUUCUUUUCUUUUUUUUUUUGUUUGUUUGUUUGUUUGUUUGUUUGUUUUGUUUUUUUGAGACAAGGUUUCACUGUUGAGCUCUGGAACCCACAGAGAUCCUCCUGCUUCUGCCUUCCGAGUGGUGGGAUUAAAGGUGUGCACCACCACUGCCCAGCUGGAAAAUAAAUUUCUAAUUGGCUAAAUUAUGGUUGGGUUUGUUUUUUUUUUUUUUUUUUAAUCUGACAUGACAGUGAAACAUUUGCUGAGUUUUUUCUAGAUCUCAUGCUAUGAAAAGCCAUUCAUACUCCACGGAUUUAGUCUUCACAAAAUAGAUACAUGGCUGGGAGUAGUAGUGCUUCUUUUAAUCCCAGAGAGGCAGAGGCAGGCAGACCUGAGCUCAAGGCCAGCUGGGUCUACACAGCAAAGUCUAGGCCAGUGACGGCUACGUAGGGAGAUGCAGUCAAAGAAAAAGAAGAAGAGAAGGAAGACAAAGUUACCCAAGUUGAAAGUGGAUAAACAGAAGUUUAUUAUGAGUUAUCGUGGUGGGAUCGUGAGUUAUCAUGGUGGUACACAGUCGUCAGCUUUCCAUUAUCUCGAUGACAUGCAUGAACUUCUGAGGUUCUGUUUGGCUCAUGGUUUCCCAGGGCUGGUUGGCCCUGUUGCUCUCGGACUUAUGCCCAGGCAGCACAUUGUGCACAGAGCACAAUCAAGCUGUUCACUUCGUGGGCAGAAUGUGAGAGAAGGGACAGGGGCUAGGGUUCCAAUACCCCUUGAAGGUUGGUCACCAGUGGCCCAGCUUCUUCCUGAUAGGCCCCACCUCCCAGAGAUUCCACCAUCAUCUCCCAGUAGUGCUAAAGUCUGGAAACCAGGCUUGAACACAUGGGCCUCCUGGAGACAUUCAGAACCCCAAACUCUAGCUGAGUGAAAAGUGGGUGGCCGGUUUCUUGAUGUAUCACUUACUCUCGCUUCUCCUUUCAUUCUCAGUCUACUGGGUCAAGCAUCGCUUCCCUCUCCAUUCCCAAACCUAAGGGUUUCUUCUUCAUGCCUCCUGUGUUCUUGAGCUUCGCCCCCACAGCUUCUGCUUUUUGAUGAGUUAAGGGGCAAUGAAAGAACUUUUAAAACUCUCACUCAACAAAGCUUGGCUUUCAAGAUUAGUCCUGUGCUAGAGACUGAAAGUCCUCCUGACAGUCACGCCUUUGUUCUGACCAUAUCUGUUCUUCCCUCUGAAACACUGGAACUAUUAUUUCAGUGGAUGGAGUGUAUCUGGCAAUAAAAUAUGAGAAUAUUUUUAAAAACA